rnacentral:misc_RNA from 1 species
GUUCCGUAGGUGAGCCUGCGGAAGGAUCAUUAUUGUAUAACCGAGGUGCGAGGGCUGUCGCUGACCCGAAAGGUCGUGCACGCCCGAGUGCCCUCACACACAUCCAUCUCACCCCUAUGUGCACCACCGCGUGGGUCCCCCUUUGGCUUGUUCGGAGGGGGGCUUACGUUUUCACACAAACUUUGUAUGCAGUGUAGAAUGUAUUUUUUGUUUUUGCGAUCACGCAAUCAAUACAACUUUCAACAACGGAUCUCUUGGCUCUC